GGCAAUUCUCAGGUGACACACCCUGGAAUCGGGGUCCCUCCUCUCUGGUUCCAGGUGCAUCACCCGAGAACCACA
rfam:Myotis brandtii contig243731, whole genome shotgun sequence.